rnacentral:rRNA from 1 species
GCUAUGUUGGCCGGGCGACGGUUGUCCCGGUUUAAGCGUGUAGGCUGGUUUUCCAGGCAAAUCCGGAAAAUCAAGGCUGAGGCGUGAUGACGAGGCACUACGGUGCUGAAGCAACAAAUGCCCUGCUUCCAGGAAAAGCCUCUAAGCAUCAGGUAACAUCAAAUCGUACCCCAAACCGACACAGGUGGUCAGGUAGAGAAUACCAAGGCGCUUGAGAGAACUCGGGUGAAGGAACUAGGCAAAAUGGUGCCGUAACUUCGGGAGAA